UGCCCAGGUUCUAUUCUUGCACACCCCAUUGGCUGGUCAUCAUGGUGUGUACUGUUCCAGCAACUCAGGAGGCUGAGGCAGGAGGAU
rnacentral:miRNA from 1 species